UGGGUUGUAAACUGCUUUUAUACAGGAAGAAUAAGCCGUACGUGUAAGGUGAUGACGGUACUGUAAGAAUAAGGACCGGCUAACUCCGUGCCAGCAGCCGCGGUAAUACGGAGGGUCCGAGCGUUAUCCGGAAUUAUUGGGUUUAAAGGGUCCGUAGGCGGAUGAUUAAGUCAGGGGUGAAAGUUUGCAGCUCAACUGUAAAAUUGCCUUUGAUACUGGUUAUCUUGAGUUGUAUUGAAGUAGGCGGAAUAUGUAGUGUAGCGGUGAAAUGCAUAGAUAUUACAUAGAACACCAAUUGCGAAGGCAGCUUACUAAGUACUAACUGACGCUGAUGGACGAAAGCGUGGGUAGCGAACAGGAUUAGAUACCCUGGUAGUCCACGCCGUAAACGAUGGAUACUAGCUGUUCGGGGCCUUGAGCUCUGAGCGGCUAAGCGAAAGUGAUAAGUAUCCCACCUGGGGAGUACGUUCGCAAGAAUGAAACUCAAA
rnacentral:rRNA from 1 species